UACGUAGGGGGCAAGCGUUGUCCGGAAUCAUUGGGCGUAAAGGGCGCGUAGGCGGCUUUUCAAGUGACGGGUGAAAUCCCCAGGCUUAACCUGGGAACUGCGUCUGAUACUGGAUGGCUUGAAUUCGGGAGAGGGAUGCAGAAUUCCAGGUGUAGCGGUGAAAUGCGUAGAUAUCUGGAGGAAUACCGGUGGCGAAGGCGGCAUCCUGGACCGAGAUUGACGCUGAUGAGCGAAAGCUAGGGGAGCAAACGGG
rnacentral:rRNA from 1 species